GCGAAUGGCUCAUUAAAUCAGUUAUAAUUUAUUUGAUAUUCACUUACUACUUGGAUAACCGUGGUAAUUCUAGAGCUAAUACAUGCGUACAUAACCUCGACUUCUGGAAGAGGUGCACUUAUUAGAUAAAAAGCCAACGCGGGCAACCGCUUGUAUGGUGAUUCAUAAUAAUUAAGCGAAUCGCAUGGCCUUGUGCCGGCGAUGAUGCAUUCAAAUUUCUGCCCUAUCAAGUUUCGAUGGUAGGUUAGUGGCCUACCAUGCUUUUAACGGGUAACGGGGAAUUAGGGUUCGAUUCCGGAGAGGGAGCCUGAGAAACGGCUACCACAUCCAAGGAAGGCAGCAGGCGCGCAAAUUACCCAAUCCCGACACGGGGAGGUAGUGACAAUAAAUAACAAUACAGGGCCUUUACGGGUCUUGUAAUUGGAAUGAGUACAAUUUAAAUCCCUUAACGAGGAACAAUUGGAGGGCAAGUCUGGUGCCAGCAGCCGCGGUAAUUCCAGCUCCAAUAGCGUAUAUUAAAGUUGUUGCAGUUAAAAAGCUCGUAGUUGAAUUUUGGCCUUGGGUGGUUUGGUUUGGCCUUCAUUGGUCAAUGCCUUUUCCGCCUAGGUCUUACCUUCUGGGUUAGCUAGUGUCAUUUCGGUGGUGCUAGUGAACCAGAACUUUUACUUUGAAAAAAUUGGAGUGUUUAAAGCAGGCUUUCAAGCUUGAACAUAUUAGCAUGGAAUAAUGAAAUAGGACUUUGGCCUUAUUUCGUUGGUUUCUAAAGCCAAAGUAAUGAUGAAUAGGGAUAGUUGGGGACAUUAGUAUUCAAUUGUCAGAGGUGAAAUUCUUGGAUUUAUUGAAGACUAACUUCUGCGAAAGCAUUUGUCAAGGAUGUUUUCAUUAAUCAAGAACGAAAGUUAGGGGAUCGAAGACGAUCAGAUACCGUCGUAGUCUUAACCAUAAACUAUGCCGACUAAGGAUCGGAUGGUGUUAUAUUUUAUAUUGACCCAUUCGGCAUUUCAGCGAA
rnacentral:rRNA from 1 species